CCUACGGGAGGCAGCAGUAGGGAAUAUUGCUCAAUGGGGGAAACCCUGAAGCAGCAACGCCGCGUGGAGGAUGAAGGUUUUCGGAUUGUAAAGUACUUUUGGUAGAGAAGAGAAUGACGGUGUCUAAAGAAUAAGCAACGGAUAACUCCGUGCCAGCAGCCGCGGGAAAACGGAGGGGGCAAGCGUUACUCGGAAUCCCGGGGCGUAAAGAGCGCGGAGGGGGGAUGGCAAGUCAGAUGUGAAAUCCUAUGGCUUAACCUUAGAACUGCAUUUGAAACUGUUAUUCUAGAGUAUGGGAGAGUUAGGUUGAAUUCUUGUUGUAGGGGUCAAAUCCGUAGAGAUCUAGAGGAAUACUCAUUGCGAAGGCGACCUCCUAGACCAUACCUGACGCUGAUGCGC
rnacentral:rRNA from 1 species